rnacentral:rRNA from 1 species
AGAGUUUGAUCAUGGCUCAGGACGAACGCUGGCGGCGUGCCUAAUACAUGCAAGUAGAACGCUGAAGAGAGGAGCUUGCUCUUCUUGGAUGAGUUGCGAACGGGUGAGUAACGCGUAGGUAACCUGCCUUGUAGCGGGGGAUAACUAUUGGAAACGAUAGCUAAUACCGCAUAACAAUGGAUGACACAUGUCAUUUAUUUGAAAGGGGCAAUUGUUCCACUACAAGAUGGACCUGCGUUGUAUUAGCUAGUAGGUGAGGUAAUGGCUCACCUAGGCGACGAUACAUAGCCGACCUGAGAGGGUGAUCGGCCACACUGGGACUGAGACACGGCCCAGACUCCUACGGGAGGCAGCAGUAGGGAAUCUUCGGCAAUGGGGGCAACCCUGACCGAGCAACGCCGCGUGAGUGAAGAAGGUUUUCGGAUCGUAAAGCUCUGUUGUAAGUCAAGAACGGGUGUGAGAGUGGAAAGUUCACACUGUGACGGUAGCUUACCAGAAAGGGACGGCUAACUACGUGCCAGCAGCCGCGGUAAUACGUAGGUCCCGAGCGUUGUCCGGAUUUAUUGGGCGUAAAGCGAGCGCAGGCGGUUUGAUAAGUCUGAAGUUAAAGGCUGUGGCUCAACCAUAGUUCGCUUUGGAAACUGUCAAACUUGAGUGCAGAAGGGGAGAGUGGAAUUCCAUGUGUAGCGGUGAAAUGCGUAGAUAUAUGGAGGAACACCGGUGGCGAAAGCGGCUCUCUGGUCUGUAACUGACGCUGAGGCUCGAAAGCGUGGGGAGCGAACAGGAUUAGAUACCCUGGUAGUCCACGCCGUAAACGAUGAGUGCUAGGUGUUGGAUCCUUUCCGGGAUUCAGUGCCGCAGCUAACGCAUUAAGCACUCCGCCUGGGGAGUACGACCGCAAGGUUGAAACUCAAAGGAAUUGACGGGGGCCCGCACAAGCGGUGGAGCAUGUGGUUUAAUUCGAAGCAACGCGAAGAACCUUACCAGGUCUUGACAUCCCGAUGCUAUUUCUAGAGAUAGAAAGUUACUUCGGUACAUCGGUGACAGGUGGUGCAUGGUUGUCGUCAGCUCGUGUCGUGAGAUGUUGGGUUAAGUCCCGCAACGAGCGCAACCCCUAUUGUUAGUUGCCAUCAUUCAGUUGGGCACUCUAGCGAGACUGCCGGUAAUAAACCGGAGGAAGGUGGGGAUGACGUCAAAUCAUCAUGCCCCUUAUGACCUGGGCUACACACGUGCUACAAUGGUUGGUACAACGAGUUGCGAGUCGGUGACGGCGAGCUAAUCUCUUAAAGCCAAUCUCAGUUCGGAUUGUAGGCAGCAACUCGCCUACAUGAAGUCGGAAUCGCUAGUAAUCGCGGAUCAGCACGCCGCGGUGAAUACGUUCCCGGGCCUUGUACACACCGCCCGUCACACCACGAGAGUUUGUAACACCCGAAGUCGGUGAGGUAACCUUUUGGAGCCAGCCGCCUAAGGUGGGACAGAUGAUUGGGGUGAAGUCGUAACAAGGUA